rnacentral:rRNA from 1 species
UACGGAGGGGGCUAGCGUGGUUCGGAAUUACUGGGCGUAAAGCGCACGUAGGCGGCUUUGUAAGUUAGAGGUGAAAGCCCGGGGCUCAACUCCGGAAUUGCCUUUAAGACUGCAUCGCUAGAAUUGUGGAGAGGUAAGUGGAAUUCCGAGUGUAGAGGUGAAAUUCGUAGAUAUUCGGAAGAACACCAGUGGCGAAGGCGACUUACUGGACACAUAUUGACGCUGAGGUGCGAAAGCGUGGGGAGCAAACAGG